rnacentral:rRNA from 1 species
UACGUAGGGGGCAAGCGUUGUCCGGAUUUAUUGGGCGUAAAGAGCGUGUAGGCGGCCAGAUAGGUCCGUUGUGAAAACUCGAGGCUCAACCUCGAGACGCCGAUGGAAACCAUUUGGCUAGAGUCCGGAAGAGGAGAGUGGAAUUCCUGGUGUAGCGGUGAAAUGCGCAGAUAUCAGGAAGAACACCGACGGCGAAGGCAGCUCGCUGGGACGGUACUGACGCUGAGGCGCGAAAGCGUGGGGAGCGAACAGG